AAAUAGCACACACAUGGAUAAGAGAACACAAAAGACCAUGAGACAUGGAAAAAAGAGUCAAAUGUAAGGUGUCACGUACACCCAACAACGAGAAGAAUAAAGCAUUAUAUGUGAAAGUAGUCGAUUAAGGCUAGAUUCAUGAUGUUUUGUCUAAUAUGACUAGAUUUCUCUAUAAAUAAUUUAUUUUACCAUUCACUUAAAACAAAUAAUCAAUUAAACAAGACUAU
rnacentral:lncRNA from 1 species